AUGAGUAACAGUGCCCCCACCCUCACCGUCCUGCCCCCCUCUAGCGAGGAGCUGUCCAGUACAACAGCCACACUGACGUGUCUGGCCAACAAGGGCUUCCCCUCAGACUGGAUCAUGAGCUGGAAUGUGGACGGGACCAGCCAGAAGCAGGAGGCCAAUCCCGGGGUCCUGGAGAAGGCCGGCCUGUACAGCUGGAGCAGCACCCUGACUCUCACUGCCCAGGAGUGGACCAAGGCAGGAGAGGUGACCUGUGAAGCCCAGCAGAAAUCCCAGACUCCAGUCACCAAGACCCUGAGGAAGGCUGACUGUUCUGGGUAGGACCCACCAGUCACA